AUGGAGCACUACAUAAGGGAAACUAAAAAACUAACUUUAAAAAAUAAUAAGGGGAAGAAAUUAUUUAGGUAUUUAGACAUUUCAUUGAAUAACAAAUCACUGUACGAUCAGCAUAUAUUUGAUUUAGUAAAAAUUUUAAAAAAUAAUAUAAAAAUAGCUUACAACAAUUAUUAUUGUUUAAAUAUUGAUUUGAGUGAAAAUUAUAUUACAUGUGUUGGUUUAAAAACUUUAUUAAAAUAUAUAUUAAAUUAUAAUGAAAAUAUAGGUGUAAAUAUAUUAAAAUUAUAUAAGAAUAAUAUAAAAGAUGAUGGUGUCUUUUUAAUAAAACAAUUGGUUUAUAUUCAAAAAAUACCUAUGGAAGAAUUACAUUUAUCUCAUAACUUUAUUCAAGAUAAUACGUGUAAAGAAUUAUUACUUAGUUUUGUACAAGCUAAAAAAGAUAGUAACUAUGUAUAUCCUAGACUUGAUAAAUAUCAGAGUGUAUACAAACAAGCUCAACAUAUACCAGUAUGGAUACGACUAGAAUAUAAUUGUAUUCAAAACCCUAAAGACAUAUUAAAAGAAGUGGAAGAAUGUGCUAAAAAAAAGAGAGGUUAUAAAAGUAAUCCCAUUAUAUGUUCAGCUUUAAAAAAUGAAAAAAGAUGUGGUCCAUAUAAAUGUUUAAACUCUACUAUUCGUAAUACUCCUAUUAUGCAUGUAUAUAUGUUUAUACAUCAGAAGGAAAAUAUGGUUUUACCAAACGAUAAAAUGUUAAAAGAUAAUAAUAAAAAGGAGUUACCAUUGGUAAAUCCUACUUAUAUAAAUAAUAAUGUAGUUAACAAAACAUGUGAUUUACUUAGUAAUAAUAAUAUACUUACAAAAACAAUGGAUGAAAUUACAGAAGAGGAACAACGAUUUAUAAAAAAUAAACAUAUUGUAGAUAGUAGUCUGGAAAUUGAAAGCAGUUUUAAUAGUGAUAGUUACAAUAAUGGGAGUGACAACAGUAAUGAUAGUAGUAUGGAAUACAGCUCCUCUGAUGAUUCUUCUGUUUUUCCAAUUACUCCUAACAAAAAAAAGAAAAAAAAAGUAAAUGAUAAAAACAAAAUACCAAACACAGCUUCUUGUUAUGUUAAUAAUAAUGAUAUAAAUACGAAAAUAAAAAAUAAAAAAAAAAAAAAAAAAAAAAAAAAAAGUGAAAGUAGUAACAGUAAUAUUAGUAUUAGUGGUAGUAUUGUUAGUGAUAGUAAUAGUGAAAGUUGUAUUCAUAGUAGUAUUAGUAUGGAGAAGAGUAGUACCAGUAGAAGCAGCAGUAACAGUAGAAAUAACAGUCGUUAUAGUAAAACAGUCAAUAUCAAUAAAUAUAAUAAAAAAGUUAUUAAACAUACCAUUUUGAAUGAUGAUAAAUUGAAAAAGGAAAAAAUGAUAAAUUCUGAACAUAACACUAGUGACUGUAUCAGAAACAAAAUGGAUGAUAAUGAUUUUACUGAUAAUAUUAUAAAUAAUAAAUUAAAAAGUGAUAACGAUACAAAAAAACAAAAUAAAAAAAUAUUACUUAAUAGAAAUCAGUUAAACCAAAGAAAUAUUUUAAACAGCAAUUUCAUAAGUAGUAGUAAUACCAAAAAUAGUAACGAUUUGACCGAUACACUUAACAAUAAUAAUAAUAUUCAAUCUUAUUUAAAUCAAAGUAAAAAAGAAAAAAAGAAUAGUGUUAAUGUUAGUUGUAGUCCUAAUCGUAGUACAACUUCUAACCACACUCAUAUACCUGAUGAUAAUAGUAGUAGUAAGAAUACACCUACUAUUUUUAGUAAUAAUUCUAACGUCAAUAUUAAUACAGAUGAAAAAAAAAAGGAAGUAAAACAUAUGAACGAUAAUAAUAAUACAGUUACAAAUCAGUUACCUCUUUAUAUAUUACUUGAUUGUAGUUCGGUAUUAGGAAUGAAA
rnacentral:lncRNA from 1 species